rnacentral:rRNA from 1 species
GUGGGGAAUCUUCCGCAAUGGACGAAAGUCUGACGGAGCGACGCCGCGUGAGUGAAGAAGGCCUUCGGGUCGUAAAGCUCUGUCAUCAGGGACGAACGGCCGGUGGAGUGGAAAGCCACCGGAUUGACGGUACCCGAGAAGGAAGCCACGGCUAACUACGUGCCAGCAGCCGCGGUAAUACGUAGGUGGCAAGCGUUGUCCGGAAUUAUUGGGCGUAAAGCGCGCGCAGGUGGGAUCUUAAGUCCAUUUUUAAAGUUCGGAGCUCAACUCCGUGAUGGGAUGGAAACUGGGAUUCUUGAGUACCGGAGAGGAAAGCGGAAUUCCCCGUGUAGCGGUGAAAUGCGUAGAUAUGGGGAGGAACACCAGUGGCGAAGGCGGCUUUCUGGACGGUGUCUGACACUGAGGCGCGAAAGCCAGGGGAGCGAACGGGAUUAGAAACCCGUGUAGUCC